rnacentral:rRNA from 1 species
GAAGAAAGCAAAUUUUGAAUUACCCAAAUACGGAGGAAAAGAAACCAACAGGGAUUGCCUCAGUAGCGGCGAGUGAAGCGGCAAGAGCUCAGAUUUGAAAUCGUGCUUUGCGGCACGAGUUGUAGAUUGCAGGUUGGAGUCUGUGUGGAAGGCGGUGUCCAAGUCCCUUGGAACAGGGCGCCCAGGAGGGUGAGAGCCCCGUGGGAUGCCGGCGGAAGCAGUGAGGCCCUUCUGACGAGUCGAGUUGUUUGGGAAUGCAGCUCCAAGCGGGUGGUAAAUUCCAUCUAAGGCUAAAUACUGGCGAGAGACCGAUAGCGAACAAGUACUGUGAAGGAAAGAUGAAAAGCACUUUGAAAAGAGAGUGAAACAGCACGUGAAAUUGUUGAAAGGGAAGGGUAUUGCGCCCGACAUGGGGAUUGCGCACCGCUGCCUCUCGUGGGCGGCGCUCUGGGCUUUCCCUGGGCCAGCAUCGGUUCUUGCUGCAGGAGAAGGGGUUCUGGAACGUGGCUCUUCGGAGUGUUAUAGCCAGGGCCAGAUGCUGCGUGCGGGGACCGAGGACUGCGGCCGUGUAGGUCACGGAUGCUGGCAGAACGGCGCAACACCGCCCGUCUAAAACCCGGGGACCAAAAAGAAAGCG